rnacentral:tRNA from 1 species
GUUCCGGUGGCUCAGUUGGUAGAGCGCCGCCUCGACAAGACGGAGGUCCCUGGUUCGAUUCCAGGCCGGAACA